GGACUACACGGGUAUCUAAUCCCGUUUGCUCCCCUAGCUUUCGCGGAUCAGCGUCAGUAAUGGUCCAGAAUGCCGCCUUCGCCACCGGUGUUCCUCCAGAUAUCUACGCAUUUCACCGCUACACCUGGAAUUCCACAUUCCUCUCCCAUACUCAAGCCUUCCAGUAUCAGACGCAGUUCCCAGGUUAAGCCGGGGGAUUUCACGUCUGACUUAAAAAGCCGCCUACUCGCCCUUUACGCCCAGUAAUUCCGAACAACGCUUGCCACCUCUGUAUUACCGCGGCUGCUGGCAC
rnacentral:rRNA from 1 species